GAACAUAAAUGUGCAGUUCAGCUGCUGUGGCUUCUAGUUCCCCGUUUACACUACCGCAAACUGAAUCAAACACGUUGAGCGCAGGAUGACAGCAAUACUGGCUGAAUUAUCAAAAAGGUAGAAGUUUCUUCAUGUGUUCUGGUUUCUUGAUGACCUAUGGUGGGGAAAUUAUUGGCCACAUGGAACUCAACCUUUUAUGGAAUCAUCCUUGUGAAACUAAGACCAUUUCCAACCGUGCAAGGCAAUUAUGCUGUGAAAGACAUCUUCCUCAUUCUGGUCUCUGUGACAGCAGCUGAUUCAUCUGCUGAAAGAAUCCAGGAUCUCAUCACAGUUUUCAUGUGGGCGUUGGGACUUCUGCUUGCCGGUUUGACUGUAAAGUGCAACCUUGUGAAACAGACCUGUUACAGAAGGCAGCCCCAGUACAGCCAUGACGUACAAGAGCUUAGAUGUUUUACAUCUCUGAAAAGUCAUUUGUUCAGCCAGGUGAGCACAAUGUCUUUUAAACUCUGAAGGG